rnacentral:rRNA from 1 species
CAGGCGGUUCUGUAAGACAGAUGUGAAAUCCCCGGGCUCAACCUGGGAAUUGCAUUUGUGACUGCAGGACUAGAGUUCAUCAGAGGGGGGUGGAAUUCCAAGUGUAGCAGUGAAAUGCGUAGAUAUUUGGAAGAACACCAAUGGCGAAGGCAGCCCCCUGGGAUGCGACUGACGCUCAUGCACGAAAGCGUGGGGAGCAAACAGGAUUAGAUACCCUGGUAGUCCACGCCCUAAACGAUGUCUACUGGUUGUUGGGGUUUUUUAACCUUGGUAACGAAGCUAACGCGUGAAGUAGACCGCCUGGGGAGU